GGACAGGUGGGAGGGGAAGCCUCUGUGCAGGGCAGCAGUGUUAAGUGGCUGAUUUGCUUAAUUCCCCCAUCUUCACCUCGUUAUUUUAGCAGGAGUGACAAAGAGAGAGCUUUUGUAGAGUCAGCUCUACACCGGUAUGGUGUAUAGGUUAGUUCUUGCUUUUCUCUGUGGUAGAAUCUGUCUUGGACUGCCCCAGCUGGGAACUGUGGCCUCUGGCAGUGUAAAGAAGUGCCUGAGGAAUUGCUGAGGUUACCCCUGAGCAACACAUUUGAGCACUGAAAUGGGGAAUUUGGACCUUCCUGUUGAGUUCCAAGCAGCCAGAAGCAAAAUACAUCUGCGUUGCAGCAUGGCAAGUUCAAAGCCACUCGGAGAAGUUUAUGGGAAGCAGCUGUGGGUUGUCUCUGCUAAUUAGGAACAGAGCACACUGAGGACUUGACACAACAGGUUUACACAGUGUGAUUAGGUAAAGAAAGUUAAU
rnacentral:lncRNA from 1 species